AUUUGAGGGGGAUACCAGUUGGAAACGACUGUUAAUACCGCAUAAUAUCUGUGGAUUAAAGGUGGCUUUCGGGCUGUCGCAGAUGGAUGAGCCUGCGUUGGAUUAGCUAGUUGGUGGGGUAAGGGCCCACCAAGGCUACGAUCCAUAGCUGAUUUGAGAGGAUGAUCAGCCACAUUGGGACUGAGACACGGCCCAAACUCCUACGGGAGGCAGCAGUGGGGAAUAUUGGACAAUGGGGGCAACCCUGAUCCAGCAAUGCCAUGUGUGUGAAGAAGGCCCUAGGGUUGUAAAGCACUUUAGUUGGGGAGGAAAGCCUCAAGGUUAAUAGCCA
rnacentral:rRNA from 1 species